rnacentral:tRNA from 1 species
GCCCACGUAGCUCAGUCGGCAGAGCGCGCCCUUGGUAAGGGCGAGGUCUCCGGUUCGAUUCCGGUCGUGGGCUCCA